CGCAUGUUUGUUACUUUUUGCCGCCUCGAUACUACUGCACAGGUCGCUGUCGCCUGUGCCAGCGAGCUGGACCAGGAGCUAGGGAUUGCGCAUCGAUGGCGCUCAUUUUCUCUGGAUUUCUCGCCCAACUGGCCCAGGUACAGGAAAGAUCUGACUGAUUUAUCACAAUAACAAAAUAGUUUGAACGACUUCAAAUUUAACUGCCUUUUUCUUGGUUGAAGACUGAAGUAAGGGAAUUGGGAGAGGAGGUUGUAUGAG